rnacentral:rRNA from 1 species
GGAAGAUGGUGCAUGCCAUUGGCGGAUGGGUGAGUAACGCGUAAGAAACCUGCCUUUCACACCGGGAUAGCAGCUGGAAACGGCUAUUAAUACCGGAUGAUACUUUUCUGACGCAUGUUAGGAAGGUCAAAGAAUUUCGGUGAAAGAUGGUCUUGCGUCUGAUUAGCUAGUUGGUGGGGUAACGGCCUACCAAGGCGACGAUCAGUAGCCGGCCUGAGAGGGUGUACGGCCACAUUGGGACUGAGACACGGCCCAAACUCCUACGGGAGGCAGCAGUGGGGAAUUUUGCACAAUGGAGGAAACUCUGAUGCAGCGACGCCGCGUGAACGAAGAAGGUUUUCGGAUCGUAAAGUUCUGUCCUGGGUGAAGAUAAUGACGGUAACUCAGGAGGAAGCCCCGGCUAACUACGUGCCAGCAGCCGCGGUAAUACGUAGGGGGCGAGCGUUGUUCGGAAUUAUUGGGCGUAAAGGGUACGUAGGCGGCUCGUUAAGUUUGGCGUUAAAUUCCGGGGCUCAACCCCGGCAAGCGUUGAAAACUGGCGAGCUUGAGUAGUAGAGGGGACAGUGGAAUUCCUAGUGUAGCGGUGAAAUGCGUAGAGAUUAGGAAGAAUACCGGUGGCGAAGGCGACUGUCUGGAUACAUACUGACGCUGAGGUACGAAAGCGUG